rnacentral:rRNA from 1 species
CACCCCAGUUACCAGUCACUCCUUAAAGACCUGCCCCCUUGCGGGUUAGCG